AGCGAACGCUGGCGGCAGGCCUAACACAUGCAAGUCGAACGGAUCCUUCGGGAUUAGUGGCGGACGGGUGAGUAACACGUGGGAACGUGCCCUUUGGUUCGGAACAACUCAGGGAAACUUGAGCUAAUACCGGAUGUGCCCUUCGGGGGUAAGAUUUAUCGCCAUUGGAGCGGCCCGCGUCUGAUUAGCUAGUUGGUGAGGUAAAGGCUCACCAAGGCGACGAUCAGUAGCUGGUCUGAGAGGAUGAUCAGCCACAUUGGGACUGAGACACGGCCCAAACUCCUACGGGAGGCAGCAGUGGGGAAUCUUGCGCAAUGGGCGAAAGCCUGACGCAGCCAUGCCGCGUGAAUGAUGAAGGUCUUAGGGUUGUAAAGCUCUUUCAGUGGGGACGAUAAUGACGGUACCCACAGAAGAAGCCCCGGCUAACUUCGUGCCAGCAGCCGCGGUAACAC
rnacentral:rRNA from 1 species